rnacentral:lncRNA from 1 species
GAAGAGCUCUAUGGGAAAGGCUCAAAAGCCAGACUUGGGGUAGCACUUAGCACUUCUGUCUCCAUUUCACUCCCAUGGCCAGACCUGAUUGCAAGGGAGUCUGGGAAAUGGACUGCCUGACUGGGCAACCACUUUUCAGUCGCUCAGUGCCAUACGCGACAAAGGACCAACGUGUCUGACCAACUGUGAACGGUCUUCACCACACCUUGUAAGGAGGCACUCUCUCUGGGGAGGUGUGGGAACCCUUCAAAACAACAUAAAUCUUCCACCCAUCCCUGUACCUUUAAAGGAGCCUGACUUAACCAAGCCCGAGCUGCUGAAACCCAAUGAAGAUCAAGCUUCUAUAAGAAAGAAUAGCAGGAGAUGCUUCAACUCCCUGGUCCCCAACACUGAAUCACCAGGGGAGCUUCAUCUAAUGUUGUUACCCAGGCCUGGCCUCUUGAGAUCCAAAUCUAAUUGGGCUAUGUAUGAAAACAUCUCAAGUGAGGCUUGAAGUUCAAGCAGUAGAACACUGCUGACUUCCACCGCUCUUCCAGUAUGGAUUUGAUCUCCUGCAUGUGUCUGUUGUGGAGUGGGGCUCCGAGUGACACACGACCGAUCUUAUGAGCUGGAAGGGUGUGGGUUCCCCAUUCUGAACACAAUGUGAGGCCUUCAUACACUCCUGAUGGGAAAGAGGAAAGAGACUACAGUGUUUGAUAUUUUUUCUUAAAAUACGAGGCUAAUGGAGCAGCCUGACUAAUAUAAUGUUAUUUAUUUUGAUCUAUAACAUACUGUUUGAAAUGUUAGAAUGAAUUUUAAAUUAGCUACAGUAAACAGCAAAGAAAUGUACCAAGAUCGUUCUAGGAAGGGCUUUUCUUUUAAUAACUAGAAUAAUUUUUCAAUUUGAUAUGGAAUUCAGAUACCAGUAGAAGGAGCUAUUGUUGGAUGGUUUAUAUAUAUGAAUAGAUGCUUUUGGGACAGGAUCUUUGAGCACUGGAAGUGGAUUACUAAGCCAUUUACAAUUCAUUACUGCAUUGUAGGUAUUCAUAUCCUUUCCAUUUUUAUCACAUCUUGAGGCCAAGAAUCUUUUAAAAAGGUCAUUUAGCUUUCAGAAAACUAUGAAUUAUGGUGAAAGCAUUGUUCUUUCUCUGACUUUAAUGUGCUCAUUUGGAGAAAAGUUACAGGAAAAUACUUUUGCUUAAGCUCUGAAUCUGACCCUCCUGCAAUCCCUCACAUAAAAUAACUUGUCAUUAAUGACUUCUUGUAUUCUCUGUGCUUGUUGCUGAUUACAUAAAUAUUUUCUUAACCUAAGCUGGCAUCCAGAGUAAAAGGAUGUUUGUCAUUUUUAGAAUUAUAAUCAAAUUGUAGAAACUCAGAUACUGUCUCACCAGAACAAUUUAAGAUUGCUUUGGAAUUCUUGAAUCAAUCAGGGUAGGGGGGAAUUUUACCUGGUAAGUGUCAGGUACAGAAAAUGGUUUUCGUUCCAACAGGAAUGAAGUAAAAUAUUGACCUGUUGUCUUAUGGGUUGACUUUCGAGAUAUACCUCACCCAGGGUGAGCAGUAGCUAAUGAUCAAUAUAAUAAUCACAAUACAAGCAAAAACUUGCUGUAAAAAAUGUCAAAGAUUUAAGUCGAAUGUUUCACUAACUAGCUGUUAAAUAUUUAUUUCCCUUUUCAUUUCUACUCCUUAAGAAGGAAGUGAAGGGACUAAGGUGUAACAUGAGAGGGGUUUGAGGAUGGAUAGAGCUGAUGUACAUUCAACUUUAUUUCAACAUCUUGAAACAACCUUGUUCUUAGUAGUCAUUACAGAAUUAUUUGGUUGCCAUUAUGUGUAAUUCUAGAAUUUGAUCAUAUGAAGAUCAUAAUCAUAAUCACAUUAAAGAGAACAUUAAUAAAGAGAGGUUGACAGCAUAAUAUUUAUUGGAA